AGUGAGAUAGCUGGGACAAAUGGUGGUUUCAUUCCAUUUUCUGAGGAUUUCUCCAUACUGCUUUCCAGAGUGGUUGCACCAAUUUGCAGACUCACUAGCAAU
rnacentral:pre_miRNA from 1 species